UACGGAGGGUGCAAGCGUUAAUCGGAAUUACUGGGCGAAAAGCGCGCGUAGGCGGCUGGAUAAGUCGAUUGUGAAAGCCCCGGGCUCAACCUGGGUAUUGCAGUCGAGACUGUUCGGCUAGAGUGUGGGAGAGGGCAGUGGAAUUCCCGGUGUAGCGGUGAAAUGCGUAGAUAUCGGGAGGAACAUCAGUGGCGAAGGCGACUGCCUGGCCCAACACUGACGCUGAGGUGCGAAAGCGUGGGUAGCAAACAGG
rnacentral:rRNA from 1 species